UGCAUAUCAAUAAGCGGAGGAAAAGAAACCAACAGGGAUUGCCCUAGUAACGGCGAGUGAACAGGCAAGAGCUCAGAUUUGAAAGGCACUUUUGUGCCGUUGUAUUCUGAAGUUAGGGUCCUGAGAAACGAUGCUUAAGUCUUCUGGAAAGGAGCGCCAUGGAGGGUGAUAGCCCCGUCUAGCAUUGACCUCAUAUAGGAUCUUAACAUGGAGUCGAGUUGUUUGGGAAUGCAGCUCAAAUGGGUGGUAUGCUCCAUCUAAAGCUAAAUAUCUGCGAGAGACCGAUAGUAAACAAGUACUGUGAGGGAAAGAUGAAAAGAACUUUGAAAAGAGAGUGAAAAAGUACGUGAAAUUGUUGAAAUGGAAGGGUAGGCCGCUAACCAUGUAGAGCCGUGUUUGGGGGGAAGAUAAAUGCUGUAGAAUGUAGCUCCUCGGAGUAUUAUAGAUGCAGUUCAUAUUCCCACCCGAGCGCGAGGAUCUCAGGUUCUACUAAAUGGUGGUCUACCACCCGUCUUGAACCACGGACCA
rnacentral:rRNA from 1 species